UCUAGAUGAUGCAUUUCA
rnacentral:snRNA from 1 species